rnacentral:rRNA from 1 species
UGGGGAAUAUUGGACAAUGGGCGCAAGCCUGAUCCAGCCAUGCCGCGUGAGUGAUGAAGGCCCUAGGGUUGUAAAGCUCUUUUGUGCGGGAAGAUAAUGACGGUAACCGGAGAAGAAGCCCCGGCUAACUUCGUGCCAGCAGCCGCGGUAAUACGAAGGGGGCUAGCGUUGUUCGGAAUUACUGGGCGUAAAGCGCACGUAGGCGGAUCGAUCAGUUAGGGGUGAAAUCCCGGGGCUCAACCCCGGAACUGCCUCUAAUACUGUAGAUCUGGAGUUCGAGAGAGGUGAGUGGAAUUCCGAGUGUAGAGGUGAAAUUCGUAGAUAUUCGGAGGAACACCAGUGGCGAAGGCGGCUCACUGGCUCGAUACUGACGCUGAGGUGCGAAAGCGUGGGGAGCAAACA